UUUUAGCCCCGAUCGCAGUGAAAAUCCUCCCUGCUCGGGGUUCGGGCAGGGAGAUUGCAACGAAGAGCGGGAGGAAUC
rnacentral:sRNA from 1 species